CUUUUUACUAUUGUUGCCUGUCUUUGCUAGGUCACACCGGGCAGGUGGCACCUGGGAUUGAGUCUCCUCAAGCCCGGACCUUGGAAACACAGGAACACAAAUCCCAGAAGGUCAUCAAGCCUUGCGCACCAGGAGGCGGUGUUGCUGUGGAAGACUUUUGAACAGGGGUUGUGAUAUUUCUAGCAAACCCAUGCUGUGAAAAGCUUGCUCUCACAAGGUGUGUAAGGUGGACGCAACAGAAAGACUGAGGAAAGAAGUAAAAAUCCAGGCCCAAGAUGAGUACCCAGCUAAUUGGAUUGGAGAGGGAAGCUGAGGGAGCCUAUGCACUCCCCUUCCUAGACAGGGGAGUGGAGGUUGGAGCUUGGAAUCCCAGACCCCCGAAGGACGACUGGCAAGGACACCCACUGAAUGCAUCUCAUUAUUGUGCUUUAAAUUCUAUAGGCAUGU